rnacentral:rRNA from 1 species
AUUGAACGCUGGCGGCAUGCUUUACACAUGCAAGUCGAACGGCAGCGGGGGCUUCGGCCUGCCGGCGAGUGGCGAACGGGUGAGUAAUGCAUCGGAACGUACCCAGUCGUGGGGGAUAACGUAGCGAAAGUUACGCUAAUACCGCAUACGUCCUGAGGGAGAAAGCGGGGGACCGUAAGGCCUCGCGCGAUUGGAGCGGCCGAUGUCGGAUUAGCUAGUUGGUGGGGUAAAGGCCUACCAAGGCGACGAUCCGUAGCGGGUCUGAGAGGAUGAUCCGCCACACUGGGACUGAGACACGGCCCAGACUCCUACGGGAGGCAGCAGUGGGGAAUUUUGGACAAUGGGGGCAACCCUGAUCCAGCCAUGCCGCGUGAGUGAAGAAGGCCUUCGGGUUGUAAAGCUCUUUCAGACGGAAAGAAAACGCAUCGGUGAAUACCCGGUGUGGAUGACGGUACCGUAAGAAGAAGCACCGGCUAACUACGUG